rnacentral:rRNA from 1 species
UGGGGAAUUUUGGACAAUGGGCGCAAGCCUGAUCCAGCCAUGCCGCGUGCGGGAAGAAGGCCUUCGGGUUGUAAACCGCUUUUGUCAGGGAAGAAAUCUUCUGAGUUAAUACCUCGGGAGGAUGACGGUACCUGAAGAAUAAGCACCGGCUAACUACGUGCCAGCAGCCGCGGUAAUACGUAGGGUGCAAGCGUUAAUCGGAAUUACUGGGCGUAAAGCGUGCGCAGGCGGUUUUGUAAGACAGAGGUGAAAUCCCCGGGCUCAACCUGGGAACUGCCUUUGUGACUGCAAGGCUUGAGUGCGGCAGAGGGGGAUGGAAUUCCGCGUGUAGCAGUGAAAUGCGUAGAUAUGCGGAGGAACACCGAUGACGAAGGCAAUCCCCUGGGCCUGCACUGACGCUCAUGCACGAAAGCGUGGGGAGCAAACAGAUUAGAUACCCUGGUAGUCCACGCCCUAAAACGAUGUCAACUGGUUGUUGGGAAGGUUCCUUCUCAGUAACGUAGCUAACGCGUGAAGUUGACCGCCUGGGGAGUACGGCCGCAAGGUUG